rnacentral:lncRNA from 1 species
CGCCUGCAGUAUGUUACAGCGGACUUAAGUUGCAUCUAAGAUUGUGCUGUUGAUUUAGUGCUCUCCUAUGUUUGUUUGUUCACCGCUGAAUAAUUAAGAUGUUGUCAUCAUUUGAGGGGCCUCCUCUAUGUUAUAAGUGAUUCGAUCCAAGAAGAAUCGGUGUAGGUUCUUCUGAUCGAGGCAGGCCGUAUGAUGCUCAUGCAUGUCUAACUGAUAAGAUAAUUUAUCUCGUGGCAUUUCUCUGAUUACUUUUGUUCAUCGUAAUUUGCAGUGAAAUGGUUUGAUUGAUGUAUAAUCCAUGUAACUAUUACCCUGUUGUAUUUUAGGCAUUUAGGUUGCACAAUCAAAUAUUACAACAACUAUGGGCCAAGUGUUCGUAUAACUUCUAGCUUUUAUGUGCAUGUUUAAUUGGUACAACCUUUGCUAUAUAUUCAGAUAAUUCAGAUACAUGCUUCUUUGGUAAGUGGAUACUACCAAGGGCGUAACACCGUUCCCUGUAUGAUGUAAAAUUUAGUCAUGCAUAUGUGACUGUCUCUGAUGUCAUAUGGCCGUAGGGACUGAAAUUGAAGUUUUGAUAGUUAAUGUGAUUCUUGUUGUUAUUUGCAAAACCAGUAACACAUCAUAGGAAUGGGGAAUUUGCAAUGCAAACUCCUGACAUUUUCUUUGGUUUAACAAUAUAUACAUUCCUUUAUUCUCUUUGAGGUCCUAAUUCCUCAAGGCACUUUGGUUAAAGAUGGAUUAGUUAUGAGUAACUUUUUUAAAACUAGAAAAAUAUAAUGUUUUAGAUACCAAAUAGCUUUGCGUGUUCAUUCUCUUAUACUACUCCUUUCGUUUCUAAAUAUAAGUCUUUUUAGAGUUUUCAAUACGAAUUACAUACGGAUGUAUAGAGUAUAGACAUAUUUUGAAGUGUAGAUUCACUCAUUUUGCUCUGUAUGUAGUCUAUAUUGGAAUCUCUAAAAAGACUUAUAUUUAGGAAUGGAGGGAGUAUUAUGUUGGGCUCAGUAUGGUAUCCAGCGACUGUGAAUUGGACUACUUGUGCUGCAGCCUGCAGCGACAUUUAAGUUAACUGCCCAGUUAACUACUACUCGGCACUUGACCAAAUCAAAUACCCCCUUUGUGGCCAAUUAACUGGGCCAGUCGAUUAAUCGAUCUGGCAGCUGAUUAAAGGCUGAAAUUUCAGAUGGACCGAUUAACUGGCAGAGGAAGAUGUGUAUGUUGUUGUGAUGCUACUGGUUGGCUAUCUGCAUUGCUGCUAUGUCCUCUCCUCUGUGUAGACUACUACCACUGCAAGUGUUGCAUCUCUGAAAAUAAAUUCGGAUGAUAUGGGGUGGCCUAGGGUAUAUAAGAUAUCAAGAUAUGCACUCCUUCUGAUCCAUAAUAAUAUAGAGAAUGAACAACUAAUGUUGAUUGAAGGGAGUAGCAAACUUUGGGAAAUGAUUGUUUGCCAAAGACAAUUUUGCUGUGCAUCAGAUUUGUUCUGUUGUGGAGUUAUUGAAGCUUGCUUGCUUUUGCUCGGAAAAUAUAUGCUAAAAUCAGAAUUUUGAAGUUGGAUUGCAGGGGGGAUUGUGUGUCACGGAUUUCUUUACCAAAUGGCUCUUUCAGUCUUUGCUUUAGAAAACUGAUUACAUUUGCAGAUGUCAUGUUUUGUACAGAGAUUCAAUCUACUUCAUAUGCCUGAAGAAGGAUAGCAUCAAUCUGACUAUUUGUUUAGUGCUUCAUAUGCCUGAACCAAAGGAUUGCAUCAACCUGACUAUAUUUUCUUUAAGUUUGACAUGCAUAAAUGGAAACGACCUUUUUUUCUUUUCGGGUGUUAAAAACAACAGUUGAAGAACUGAAGAAGUAAAAGAGCCCCAACAGUGGACAAACUUUUCAUACUAGCCGUGAAGUCAGAAUGGCCAAAUUAGCAUUUCACUCUGCGUUGCAGCUAAUACUGAUGAAUCAUUCAAAGAAGCUUCGAACUGUUACAAAGAGUCACAAGCUUUAAACCCUUUCAACAUCUCUGGGGAGAGAAAAUUAAUGUGGAUUAUCUCUAAUCAUCAAGCAGAGAAACAGUGAUCUGCACGAUGCAAACAAGACUUAUGUUCUUGUUUCGUCCGAAUCAGCUCACCACGAAGCUUUGUAACCUUGAAAUUAGGAAAGCAGAAUUUGUCAAGGAUCAAGAACAACGUUUUAGGCACCGAGCAUUUCAAUCAUCAAAAAUCUUUGUAUGCACUCCCUUGCCACUCUGGGUGGUCUGAUGUUAGAAGUUAGAACAACAAUCCGGUUUGGUAUAGAUUGUGAAGAAAUUGGUGAAGAUUAUGGUGAAGAUUAUGUUGAAACCAUGUUUAAAAGUUCAACAAAAUUGUACCCGAAAAAAUACAGAUGCUAGGAGGGUGAUGUUCUAGAAGUAUGCAAAAUUUCAAGGUUCGGUCCUAAAUCAUUCUGUAGAUAUGUGAAAAUAUAAAUUCAUCAAUAAUAUAAACGUUUUCUGUGUGAUUUUUGCGCAGUUUUCACAGGUUUCCACUCCAAGUUGGUUUCCCCACAAUAUUUUCUCUAGAUAGUCUGCGAUGACUCCUAGGAUUCCAGUAACGGUGUGCAGGCUAGAAUCAGCACACCAAGAAAAAGCCUACAAAUGCAUAUAAUAGUGUAAUGACGCAAUCACGGUGACAAUAAGCUUCGACAACAGAACAACCACAACGAGUGCACAGAUCAUCCAACAUAUUCUUUCAUAGUUUUGUAAUCAUCAAAACAACAGGUUUGCAGGGAGAAUUGGGUUGUCCCUUGCCGGUUCAACCAUAACAAUGUAUAAAUCCGUAGUUCCGUAGUUGAAGAGCACAUGGAGACUUUCAACCAUACAAUGUACUCCCUCUGUAAAUUAAUAUAAAAACGUUUAGAUCACUAUAAGCUGCUAUGAAUGGGUCAUACAAAUAAGCUUUGAAUCGUUACAAAGAGUACAUCUGGGGGCGGAGAAAAAAAUGUUGGAAAUUCUCUGAUCAUCGGAGCACAAGCAGUGUUCUGUCUAUGCAAAUAACACCAUGAAGCCUGCGGCCCUAGAAGCACAUCGUUUCCUCCGAAUCAAUUCACCAGGAAGCCUACGACCCUAGAAUUAGAGAAGCAUUAUUUUGUUGUAGAUCAGAACAAAUUUCAAGCGCCGAAAAUUUCAGUCAUAACAAAUCUGCUGGCGUGGGGAUUAGUCAUGAAUUUUCAGAAGAUCUGAUCCACAGGGAGUAAACAGGAGGGUUUUUUUUUUUUUUUGCGGGUCACACAGGAGGUAAAUUCAACUCACUGAAAACUCGAAUCGGCUGUGUCCUAGGCGCACAGGAUGAGCUUGCCGGAGGGCAAGGCUACGGCGGCGACGGCGAGGAGGCAGGCGGUGACGACGUUCCGGUAGCACCACCGGAGCGGGCCCCACGCCCCCGCGCCCUCGACGCUGGCGCAGUUGGUCCUCGUCACCCCGCACUGCGGCUCCUUGGACAGGUCGAAGGACGCGCCCUUCAUGCGCAGCUCCUGCACGCACCGCGCGAGGGCCCGGGCGUCGCCGCGCUCCCGCCGCAGCCGCCGCGCGGCGCGCCAGUAGGCGCAGACGCGGAGCUGCACGGCCGCGGCGAGCGCGAGGGAGGCGGCCAGCGAGAGGGACGAGGGCGCCCACCACCUCCUGCAGGCGCGCGACGGGGCGCCGCCCGCGACGGAGGCGGCGAAGAGGAGCGCGAGGGAGAGGCCGUGGAGGGCGAGGAAGGCCGCGCAGAGGUAGAAGGCGUCCCGCCGCGCCGCGUCCAUGACCGCCUCGAGCGCGCACGCGCGGCGGUUCAGGCGGGACUCCUCCCGCUGCCACAGCUUGAGCAGCAGCAGGUGGCCCCCGCUGUCGGCGAUCUCGCCCAGCGGGUGGUGCCCCGACGCCGCCAUGCCGGGGAACGCGCCGCUGGCUGGCUCCGCUCCGUCGCCGGUGACCGGGAUCUCCACGACGUGGGCGUCGUUUUUGGUGGGCUCCGCCGCCAUUGGAAGUUGCGUUCUGAAUUGGAAGGUUUCGAGUUGAUGUGAGAUCGGGCUCGNNNNNNNNNNNNNNNNNNNNNNNNNNNNNNNNNNNNNNNNNNNNNNNNNNNNNNNNNNNNNNNNNNNNNNNNNNNNNNNNNNNNNNNNNNNNNNNNNNNNNNNNNNNNNNNNNNNNNNNNNNNNNNNNNNNNNNNNNNNNNNNNNNNNNNNNNNNNNNNNNNNNNNNNNNNNNNNNNNNNNNNNNNNNNNNNNNNNNNNNNNNNNNNNNNNNNNNNNNNNNNNNNNNNNNNNNNNNNNNNNNNNNNNNNNNNNNNNNNNNNNNNNNNNNNNNNNNNNNNNNNNNNNNNNNNNNNNNNNNNNNNNNNNNNNNNNNNNNNNNNNNNNNNNNNNNNNNNNNNNNNNNNNNNNNNNNNNNNNNNNNNNNNNNNNNNNNNNNNNNNNNNNNNNNNNNNNNNNNNNNNNNNNNNNNNNNNNNNNNNNGCUUAAGGAAGGAAGGGAAGGGGUGGUGUGCGUCCAACGGUCGGGUACUUUAGUGAGGCAGGCAACGGUCGAAUUUUCGCUGGGCCUCACGGUGAUGGCCCAUUCACAUCAUCAAUGAGAUCCUCAUUUUUGUCUCAAAAAAAAAUCAAUGAGAUCCUCAUUUUGCUAAAACAAAAAUCAAUGAGAUCCUAAAAAAAACUUAGAAAACUCAAAUAAAAAAGCAUCCAUGAUUAUUAAGUAAAAGACAAUUCAUCGGCGAUGGUUGUUGUUCUGGUGCGCUGGUCCUACAGGACCUUAGUACGACGACUUCCCGACUGUCUACUACAACAAGGUCUGUCUGGCUCCGAUGAGGGAGAGGCGAUGACGGCAGCGUGCCUUCGGCUCGCUUCAGUGCUUGUAGUCGUCGCUAGGUGAUCUAUGGACCUGGAUGUAUUUUUUAUUUCUGGUGUUCUUUGUACUAUCUUGACAGUUGAUGAAUAGAUUGAAAGUUUUCCAUGCAAAAAAAACAGUUGUCCCGAAAGUAGGGCGACCUUUCUCAGAUUGUCUAAGUUUAGGUCUGCCAGGGCCAAUAUGCCCCAUAUUAUAUUGCAAUUGAUAAAAUACCCCAUCUUUGCUCUAUACCGUGCCCAGCGACGGAGGCUCCACUGAGGUGAGUUGGUGAACUUGAGAUUUGCUUAAUUUUGUGAUGUGUUUUCGAUGUGUUGGGACUUGAAACCUUCAUCUAUGUGUUGGAACUUGAGAUUUACUUUGUAAUGUGUUGCUCUAUUUUGCUAUGUAAUGGAAAACUUUAUCUAUUUUGUGUGACUAGUGUGUCAAACUUGUUGGACAACAAGAAUGUAUGCCAUUUUCUCUGCUAUAGUUGCUUAAAUUGUCUGAAGUUUGAACAGUACACUAUGAAUAUACUUGAUUUUUUUUGUAAAAUUUUCAGGUUUUUCUGGGUAGUUCAAAUGUUUGCCCAAACUUUGGACAAACUCGGACUAAAAUUUCAAAUUUUGUUUCUCUCUGCCCCUUGUCCAGAAUUGGUUGAAAUCUGAACAGCGUACUAAGAAUAUAUUUGAUUUUUUGUAAUAUAUAUAUAUAUAUAUAUAUAUAUAUAUAUAUAUAUAUAUAUAUAUAUAUAUUUCUGGGUUGUUCAAAUUUUCGCCCAAAAUUUGGGAUCUUGUUUUCUCUUUGCCCCUUUUCCAGAAUUGGCUGAAAUUUGAAUAGUAGACUACUAUGGUUAUAUACUUAUUUUCUGUAAUAUUACCGGAUUUUUAUGGGAAAGUUAGUUUUUUUGACAAAAUUUGAAAAAACAAAUUGCGAUGCAUACAAGAUUGCACGGGUUACUAACAUUUUGUUUUUGAUCAGGGGUAUUUUGGUCUUUUACACCCACUCAUUUAUGUCAUAUGGUAAAGAGACAUCAUCAAGUUAAGUGUGUGCUAUUUCUGUCAAGAGGCAAAGCAAAGAUGGCUCAUUUUACCAAUUGCAAUGUAAGAUGGCCCACGUAGAGCAAAGGUAGGUCAUGAUCAAUAAGCUCAAAUUUAUAAGCCUCUUAUGUAUAUUUUCAAAAAAAAUAAACUACCGAAAAAGGAUUUCCCCCCGCUUUAUAUUAUAAAGCAAACAUCACCACAUACAUCUGAGCGAGCUGAACAAACACACGCCACCACGACACACAACACACACACCCAAGGCUAGAUACAAGGGUGCCAAGCACCAUCACACCACUCGGACACAACCAAGCCAACAAAGUAUGAGCUACGAAGAACUACUUGGAGUCACCGAGGGGGUGAGACGGACCAUGACGAAGCAAGGACUUCAAGACGGUGCCCCCCAGAAGGGUACGACCACGGAUAGCCGCCACCGUCCGAUCCGCAGAUCAAGUUUUCACCCAGAGCGACGCAAGGGGUGAGAGCACCGUGACGGAGCCUUCAAGAAGAAUACGACGUCCACAAACGCCGCCACCGACGGCCAGAAAAGGACUGGGCAGGUGAUGAACCCCGGUGCUCGCACCCACCGACACACCCCUGCUCCGCCAACCACCCGCAGUCACGUCCCCCGCGAGACCAUGGCUGCCCGCCCGCACCUGAGACGCAGGUUCCGCUCCCGAACGCCACACCUCCCGCCGCCAGGGCCGCCGCCCAACAUCUAGACACCCCUAAGACCAUCCAAAGAGAUCAACUUUGCACCAAAGGAGCCCCACCGACCGACGAACCGCAUCAUACAUCCUGCCUUGAACAUCGUCGGAGCUGCGACAGCCAACACGCGGCCGAGGAAAGGGGAAGGUGGGGGAGCGGAUGCAUCCGGACCGGCACACCCCUGUGCCAGUGACGGGGGCCCGAGCAUGUCGGCGCCACCCAUCCCUCCAACCAGCCUCCCCACCGGACACUCCUGUGCCGCCCCACCUCGGCGGCCGACGCAACACCGCGCAAGGCCACCGACGCAGACCCGACCACCGGCAAGGGGGACCCCAAGUAUAGCCGCCGAACGCCAAGAAUGCUCACCGGGGAGCCCAUCUGCCCUACCGCCGUUGUCCAGCCGGCGGGACGACUGGAUUCCGACCAGCACGCCCACCUGCCACCGCCGCUGCGCCUCCACCACCACCAGCCGAGGCCACGGUAGGGGCGGACGCCCGCAGCCCGCGGCGUCCGGACCCAGAUCUGGCCGAAGCUGCCGCCGGAGCCCGCCGCGCACCACCUCCGCUGCAGCCCCUUCAUGCCGCCGCCCACAACUCGCAUCGCCGCCACCACCAGCUGCUGCCGCCGCGCCCUGAGGAAACGCCACGCCGCCGCCCGACCCGGAGGCCCGCGCCUGCCGAGCCGAGAGGGGGAAGGAGAGGGCCCCGCCGCCGCCAGCACUGGCCGGGCUUUGCCCGGUCGGGGCAGCGGCGAGGGGAGGGAGGAGCGAGGAGGGGGGCUGCUCGCGGCGCUAGGGUUUUCCCCCCGGGUGCUCGCGGGAGCGCCACCAAAAAUAAACUACAUAAUCCCCCGUGUCGUCCUCUGGGCGACUCGGGCGGCGAUCUGAUCCUCUUUUCCCGGCCGUCCUUCUCGUGCGUCCUCUCCUCGCCGCCGCCGGUCAGCGCCGCCGGGCUUGCCCGUGUGGUCGACGGCGGCGGCGGGGCUCCAUACCCGUGGCGCUUAGGCAGUAUUUGGCGGCGUACGAGCGGCGACUGGACGCCAUGAAGGUGGAACUUGCAGCGACGGCGAGGGAUUUUGGUUGGUCGGCGGCCUCGCAGCAACGGGUGCACGUCUUUCCUUACCUUCCCUGGCGGUCAGGAGCAUCAAGUGGCAGGGGUGCAGACGGGCAUGAGGUCCAUGAACCAACCUGUACAGCACUCUCAUGCCAGAUAGGCGCAAGGGCGCAGCGUGCUACGGCGUAGGCCAAGCGACGGAUGUCGUGCCUGUCGCCCACGCUGUGCGUUCGAAGAUGGUGGCCAUGGUGGUCGUCCACUCCGGCAAAAGGCCGGUGGCACUAUGGAUCUGGCUAGUAUGAUGCUGUUUUGCACUGCCCUAGACCUUAUUGGUUGUGGUAGUGGUCGGAUGGCAUCGUCUGAGGAGUUUUAAACUUCCGAUCCAACGACAACAGCGAGUUCCUAUUCACGGACUGCGUCGAGGAUGGAGGCGAUAGUGUCAACGUGUGUUGCUGUCGUCUUAUAAAGAUCAGCCAUAUGUUGUUGCUUGCGAGCACGGCGGGCCUUCGGAUCAUCCCGAACUUGGAUUUUGGCAGUGCUGGUCUCCUGUCUCCCCGCGAAGACUUCGCCAUGUUGUGUCGAGCGACCCUCGCCAUGGCUCAUUAGCCUAUCGCCGGGACGGUACGCGUGUGCUGCUAGGAUCGAGGCAAGUGGAGGAGACAACAUAUGAUGACUUCGAUUGGGUGGUACUUUUUGGGUACCUAGUCUCAAGCUUCGGGGUGAAAACCCUAGGUCUGACCAUUUGGUUAUACAUGGCAAUGGUGGUGUUCUCUACGUCAUUACCUUGAUGAAGGCAUUGCUUGGAGUUUACUCGGAUUUGAUUUUCAGGGUGAAAACCCACGAUCUAACCUUCGAUGGUUUGGUCGGGCUACGGCAUCGCUUGCACGUCAUUCUCUUCCUGGAGGCAUCGCUUUUGAAGAACUUACCUUGUAGUCCUUGUGUUGUCAAGAGAUGGUUUGGUGCCAAUGGUCACUGCUGUAUGCUGUCAAAUCAUUGUUUUUAUCGCUUUCGGGGUUUUUAUUUUCUUUUUCUUUUGCCUAGGCAUAGCUUUGGUCUUGUUGACUUUGCUAUUUGCCGACGUGAUUUUUCAUAUGCGUGUGUUAGUGUUAGCUGUGUGCAUCCUAAUUAUGCAGAGGCCGGGUGUGUACUCACUAUAAUUGUAUCCCUCGAUGCUAUAUUUUGAGUCAAUAAAAAACACUCUUUGUCAAAAAAAAUAGAAGGUGGAGAACAGACUCACAUAGCACUCGCGUAUGUUCCCCACCCAGAGACUGAGGAGAGGGGAGGGGGAGGGGUGUACCAUGUCCUAUCCUCUUAUCAUUACUAUCAUAGUCAACCCCAUCGAUGUUCUUGGGAAGGUCAUAACAAUGUGGUACUUAUCUUCUCGUAUAGAUCACAUAUCUCAAUGAGAAACCUCACUCGAGGUUAUAGUUGUGUUUGAACACAGCAUCCCAUAUACAUAGAAUGCAUGUGCAAGAGCAUCUCCAACAACAACCCUAUAAUUGAUGACCCAAAACUGGCUUUAGGUGUGGAGAGAGAAGAUUUGGGUUCAACAGAAAAGUUUCUGCUCUUUCAGCAGCUCUAAAAUUAUUUUUUGGUAUCGUAGAAUUUGAAACAUGGACAAGCAUCAUAAAUUCAUUGCAUAUUUUAAGCUCUAGAAUGAAAUGUUGCACAUUAAACAUGAAACGACAAACUUAAACACUGGCAUUUUCAUAGAUCCCUAGCACUACAUUGCGAUAGACCUAGCUCUACUCCUAAUUGUAGUAGUUGUCUAAUUCCUCGUCGGAGAUGUCAAUCACCCCUCCGCUGGAAGGGCUGGCCUCGUGGUCAUUGGCGGUAGACCUACUCCACGUCUUCAUCUCCUCCUCAUCGAAGAGCUCCGCCUCCAAUAAUUUGUUGCGCUCCGCCUCCCUCGACUCGCAGAAUGCAGUGUUGUUGAUUGUGGAGCUGUGAAUCAACCUCAAUGAGGUUCUCUACAUAGACCUCAUAGUUGGCCUCGGCCUUGCGUUGCUCCCCGGCCCAGCGGUGCUCCUUCCUCGUCACGGGAGACGGCCCUAAUGGAAGGGGCGAGAAAAUCCGCAUCCAAGUAGAAUUUUUGUUGUACAUGAUGAGAAACCUCUUCUGAGGUUAUAUUUGUGCUUGAACACGGAAUCCCCAUAUAAAUAGAAUGCAUGUGUAACGUGUUGGGAAGCCGCUAGGUGAUAACUAGAUGGAGCUCGAUGCGCUCGAGUUGUUUGUUAAUCUGGUGUGGCUCAACCAUGUAACAAUGCCUUGUUAAAGGUAGAUUAGUUUUUUUUACGGGAAAGUAAUUUUAUUCAUCAAAUGACAGCCAGAUCGUUUACAAUCAAGAAUGAAAUGAAAUCAAGGAGGUAUUAUCCCAAAUAGACGGGGAUUUAGAAAUAUAACAGGAUUUAGCCAGGCAAUCUGCAACUUCAUUAGCCUCCCUCUUGCAAGGUUAAAAGUGGAUUGGUUCAUUGCACGCACACAUAUGGUUAGCGUGGGGGAGAUCUAGGCAAUUGCAAUAGGGGCAUGUGCAAUGCAAGGUGCUUAUGUAGGCGUGCUUAAGAAGAUGGAAUAUUGCCACAUCAGUGAGCACUAAUGUAAAUUGCAUCUACUGUAGUGCAAGCUCCCCUUCGUAGGUACUUGGAUGAUCUAUUACACUAAUUACCACAAGUUAAAUGCACAAGCAUCGUUGCCAAAUCAAGCAACAAAUCCUUCAAUAUAAGCAAAAGUUUUAUCCAGCGUGGCAAUAAAAUUGCUUCUUUAUCCUGCUAAGCACAUUGCAUGCUCCCUCGAACGUGCAACAUGCCGCCGUGCAAGGUUUCACUAGUAAUAAAAUAGGUUAAAAUUGACAAUUGAACAUUCUUCAAAAGUAACUCACUGAUUCUAGAUCCCCUCCGUUCCAAAAUAGAUGACUCAACUUUAUACUAACUUUAGUACAAAGUUGAGUCAUCUAUUUUAGAACGGAGGGAGUAUGUCUUAAAACCUUUGUCGAUUAAAAAGGUUUAAGGUAAUUCCACCUCAAGUGAUUAAUAAUCGACAUUUCUAAGCACAUAUGAUCUAUAUUGGCUGUUUACGACCUCGACAAUUUGCCAUGUAUGACUAGGUGGGAUAGGUAGAAUAGAAUUCGAUUUUCCUACAACAUGUCUAAUUUUGACAAAUUUUAUGCAUUGAAUUUGCAAUAUCCGCACACCACAAUUAAAUUGGGCACAAUAUUACUACUACACUGAUCAACCAGUGAACUUUGUAUUGUAAUUUUGACCAAUAUCAUGGUGAGCUUGUGAUGUUCAUCCACGCACAACAAUUAAUUAAAUUGUGUGUCGAAAGUAUGGUACCCUGUUGAUAAGACCCAAGAUCCGCCACUGGUUCAAGGACUUGUACAUCACAUAAUGUUUCAGACUCUUGGUGAUUACUGCAUCAACUCUUGGUGCUUACAGUGUUAUUAGUGUUUUUACUCACCUGUGGCUAUGUGACUGAGCUAUAAUCAAAUGUUCGUGGAGUAAUAAGUAUGUCAUCACUUCAAACUUCAGUCAGGUACUCCUCCAUUUUGAUGGAUAACUUUGCUCUACCUCAUCAGCUCCGUCUGACACACCAGAAAUGGUGUUGUGAGGCUUUUGUCUGCUCUGAACAUGAUGCCUUGAACUCAUCCUCGCCCUCAAAAGCAAGGAAUUGGCCAUCACGCUGACUGAACUAAAACCCAUCAGUGCUCCAGCUAUUGACGGGGUCAGCAUCGUACCCGUCACUGGCAGCAAUGCUCCAGCAGCAACGGGUAGCCCAACCUGCAAAGUAUCGCAUCAUAACGAGGCCUCGCAAGCAGGAUUCUGAGCAGGCAUAUAUUUUUAAUCUAAGUGUAACUUCUUUAAAACUGAGGUCCAACAUUAUCCUGGCAGUUGAUAACUUAUGAAACACAUGAGCAAGGCAUAAAGAGACAAGAAAGGGAAACAUACAAUGUUAUACAGAAAAGCCCACCAAAGAUUUUGCUUCACUGUUCUCAUGGUUUCUUUACUUAACUCUAAAGCAUCAACAAGCUGCAUCAAAGACCCAUCAGCGCAGUUUAUUAGAAAAAAGAAAGAUGGUACUAGCACAAAGAGGGAAGUAAAGUUCAAUGAAUUUGGCAAUGGUGUCAGUGAGUAACUCCAAGCUGCCGUGAAUGAAUUACCUGAGAUAACCUAUUACCCAUGAGAACAACUGAAGAUACAUCACUAGCUGCACCAACACCCCCACCCAUUGCGAUUCCAACAUCAGCUAAAGCUAGGGCUGCAGCAUCAUUGAUGCCAUCACCAACCAUCGCAACUAACUUGUGCUCCUUUUGAAGUUCAGAUAUGAACUUCUUUUUCUCAUGUGGUUUAACUUCAGAAAUCACCUGAUACCAUUUAAUUAUGUACACAAGUAAAUCACACUGAAAAGGUAACAAAGGAUAAACAAAUCAUGGUAAGAAAAGAAUCCUAAUGAAUGAAAGAAACGUUUUUUCAUGCUUCCCAUUGUGGCUGAAAUGGUUUCAAUCAUAGAUCUUUAUGUUCGCUUAAUAGUGCAUGGGGAUGAGAAAUUGCUAAUACCAGAUGAAAUCAAUUUACAUAUUAAAGCCUUUCAGCUUGCUGUAAGAUUUCCAUGCAUAAUUAAAAGCAUGAAUCCAUUUCCUACAAAGAUACAUAAUAAUAUCAUAACUUUAUGACAAAUGUUAAUUAUUUUUCUUUACGAAAAGUUGAACAGUGGUAUUUACCAUCUGAAUUCAUAUUUUCAGGUAAAUUAAUAGGCAGAAAAUUUAUGCAGCAUUAGGCUUCUAAAAUUAAUGAUAAAACAGCACUACCGGUGCACCUUCUAAGAUGUACUAUAUAAAUUGCAUAUUUGAAGUCAGACAACAUGUUCAUUCUCAUACUUUGAUGUCAUAUAGGAGUACUACAGAAGUUUGUUGUUUUACUACAGGAACUAUUCACCAGAAAAGAAAUGUCCACAUCGGUAAAGCAAAAUUUAGUUGAUAUUACCUUGUCUAACUGAAUGCCAACAACUGAAGCAACAUUCAUAGCAGCACUCUCCUUGUCCCCAGAUAACAUAUACACACUAAUUCCUUGCUUAGACAGGGCACUGAUAACUUGAUGAGAAUCUUCUCUGAUCUUGUCCUCGAAACAAAUAAGACCAGCUAGAGUACCAUCAACUGCUACAUAUGCAACAGACUGACCAAAACUUUCUGCUUCAUGAAAUGGGUCACGAACAACACCAUGCCUGAGAUAUUGUCAAAACAAUUGUUUACUAGUGAGCACAGUUCCUCGGUGCAACAUAACAAUUACACAUGGAGCUAGUGUAAUGGAGCAGAAAAUUGAUGCAAUAAUCCAAACAAAGUUGUAUAGCUAGAAUGAGGAAAGAUAUAUGUCCCUAGUACAAGUCUUAGCACAACAAUUGAAUAAAUAAUUCAAGUGUACCUCCUAAUCCAGUCUAAUGUACCAACCGAAACCUGUUUCUCACCAAUCGUAGCCACAGCACCAGACCCUGGUUCUUCCAUAAAGGACCCAUCCUUUGCCUGUAACGAUAUACAUGGGAAAAUGGCGAGCAUAUAAACACAGUAAAAUCUGCAACUCUAAUGGGGAAUAAACUGUGCCAUGAAACAGAAAUGUCAAUUAGGUGAUCUCAUUUUAUCAUAAAAGCACUAUUGAGCAGAAUAUGUCAAUUAUCAAGUUAAAUGGCAAAGGGUGCAAGAUGUUUGUUUUCUUUCAACUCUGGUGCAAGGGUGGUUAUGGGCCUAAUGAGAUUCAGCCACGGUCUGAAUUCAAGUAGCAGAACAGUUAUCCUACAACAGCCGUUUUAGUGUACCGAGGCAAUUGGCAUACUGAGGUCAUUUUAUCUCAGACUUGUUGAGCAUUUCUGCUGUGAGUACCUUCAUAUUGAUGCAAUUGGCAGCCUGGGCAGCUUCCAUGAUCGCUUUUCCAAGUGGAUGGUUUGUAUUUGAUUCUACUCCAGCAGCCAAACUAAGAAUGUCACCUUCUGUCCAUUCAUUGUUCCAGUAAUCUCUGAUGACAAAAUAUGGUUUAUCAACAGGAAGAUCAGGGAAAUAAACUUCACUUCUGCUGCUGAGGGUACAUGAAGUGCAUAAGUCACACAUACGAUUUGGAAAAAAAAACGCUAUCCAUGGAAAUACAUUGCAAAUUUCAGGGUGUCCCAUCCUAUGUGCAGCUAUGUUUUGCAGUGAGUUCCAGUUAAAUGGGAAGUAAAAAGUAACGCAUAAAAAUUCUAAAUUAUAACCAAGUACAACUUUGAGGAAAGUAAUUAGAUACAACAUACAAAUUCAGUAAACAGAAUCAGAACCACUUAACUUUGUAUUUACACCUCCCUCGCUGUGAGAAGCUAUUACUUUUGUCACUACAGGUUUCCCAAUUGUUAAAGUUCCGGUCUUAUCAAACACAAUGGCAUCAACUUCCGCAAAUUUCUCCAAAACAUCCCCACCACGUAAAAGAAGUCCUCUCGUUGCACCUAACGAAGUACCAACCUGGAAAUAGUAUAUAUGAAUAAUUGUUGACAGAACGUUUAUUCAGGCAAAAGGGGCCAUAUCCUUUAGUUCCAUACCAGCACUGCAGUGGGUGUGGCAAGACCAAGAGCACAUGGGCAAGCAAUUACCUACACAUGAAGAUCAAUACCCUUAACUGUUCAGAAAGUAGGGCACAUUGUAGGCAAGGAGAAGUUAAAUUAGAAAAAAAUCUAUCCUCAGCCCUGAACUAUGGUAUUUGGUCUGACUAGAACACUUUAAUAUAAAACCUUCUGUAAUAGACCCUGAACUUUCUAGAGUCAUUUGUCCUAACUGGUUUUCGAUGGUGGUUAUGUAUUCUGGGGGUUUCUAAAAAUGUGAACAAUCAUUGGUGUAAAGGAUGUUAGAAAGUGAGAACCUGCAAAUUUUCAGCCAAAGAUACAACCAUUUGUGUCAUGAACAAAAGAGGGAAAGAUAUAUCAAUCCAUCUCGUCUUUUUGGUACAGGAUACAAAUGAUCAUAUUCUGUGAUGCAAAUUUUCAGCUCCUUAUUUUAUGAGUUAUUCAUUCCCUACACCUUCGAAAUGUUUCACAUUUUUCUGGAAAACACAAAAAGACGAGAACAUCUAUCUUGUUUUUUGUACAUGGCAGAAAAACAUGCAUAUUUUUUUAUGAAACUUUGCAGAUUCUCAUUUUAUAGUAUUCCAUUCCAUUGCACCUAAAAAAGUUAUUUCAAGUUUACUAUAAACAAUGUUAUAGUCUAGGGUUGAAAUUGGACCAAACAAUAUAUUUCAAGGUUCAUGGUCAUUAACAUAAAUGAAAACCAUAAUUUAACAUUUAAAAUUGUUGGAGAGUUGUAUAGACAUAUGAGAGGUACAUAGAUUUCUGACAGCUACACCUGUGCAACUCAAGUCUUCUUAACACUUAAGAUGAUACAAGUAUGGGACUAAAAGCAUGAUUAAUCCAGUUACACCCAAUGAUCUUAUUUCCUUUAUAAGAAACCUUUUUUAAAAGUUCAAUCUUGAAAUGAACCUACACUUUCAACAUCCCUGCAUUUCAAACAAACAUGGCUGUUUUUCAUGUCAUUUAUUUUGUAAGCUCAAUAACUGAAUUUGGAAUUAGACAAUUUUUUCUCUCAAGACAACACCAUUCAAAGGAGUUUGCAGUUUACACUACCAUAUGCUACUUUAAGCAAAACAUUACUCUUUAUUCAAAGUAAAUAGACAGGAUAAGACUGUUAAACAUGUGUUUCUUGGAUCAUACCAGAACACUGCAAGAAAGCUGCAAAGCCAGAGACAUUGCACUUCCCUGCUGGAUAGCAGCAGGUACAAAUUGUGAACCAAAAAUACUCCAGAACAUAAAGGUAGCAGAAGAAAGCGCCAUAACGCCAUAUGUAAAGUUCCCGGCAACCUGUUAUGUAAUAAUAAAAUGAUUGACGCAAUUAAUCAUAGUAAUACAGUAUAGCCUAAACCUAUAACUAAUUCAGGUUAUGAUAUGGUAAGUGGAUGAAAAUAUCUCUAAGAUUGUUGUAACUGAUCAAAGAUCCGUCAGCAGUGACCAGGACAAAGACAGUAGAGGACGGUGUAACAAAUGCCCUAUGCGGAAACAUAUAAAAGAGCUAAUACUAAUUAUCUAAGACCCCGUUCCCAACACGGGACAAAAUCAAGGUUCCUAUUGGGUUCAGACCGUUUGCUGUGGUAUUCCUGUAUUAUAAACAGACCUUAAUAAAAAAUGGAAUCAAUAUUUCGAGUGAUCAGGAACUUAAAAGUAGAAUACAGCAGUAAGUGCACACAUCGUCUGAACCAAGAAACGUUUUGAACAUAUGUCUAAGUGCUAAACAGGCUCAAGUAUCUACUGGAAGAUACAUUUUUACUAAAUUGCUAAUUACAAUCUUGCCUAGGUCAAAUAAAAAUUGCAGAAAGUAGUCAAUGACCCAUAUUCCAUAAUUAUUUAGUCCACACAAAGGGUCCAUGUGUGGAACUCGUGCGCCAAACUGAACAUCGCAUCCACAUACAAAAUGUUUAUGUGUACAUAAUUGCGUUGGACAUAAUGAUAAAAUAGAACAAUUCAGCAUUAUAUCAGACAUUAACACUAAAUUAGUAGUAGUUCUCGUAGAGUUGGUCCCAGAGUCUCAGUUCCAAAUGUGAUGACAAAUAUACCUUGUCAGCUAAUCGCUGAACAGGGGCUUCCCUUGUCUGUGCUUCUUCCACUAAGUGAAGUAUGUCAGACAUGACAGUCUCACCGCCAGGUCGUCGAACUUCAACUGUCAGUUUACCGUUUAAGUUAAUGCUUCCCGCUGAUACUUCUGCCUAACAAAGGAAAAAAGAAUCAACACCAUACUCAUGCUAAUGUUCAGAUAUUACCUGAAUUCAGUGAGCCAGAAGGCACCAAUAUCUCCACAUAAGACAAUAUUAGGUGGUUCAGAAAACAUACCCCUGCAAUCUUAGUUACCGGCAUAGGUUCACCUGUCAAACUUGACUCGUCAACUGUACUUCUUCCAGCUUUCACAAGUCCAUCGGCUGGAAUGCGGUCCUGGACAGUGCACGAUAGCAAACAUUAUACUAAUAGGAUAAUAGCAUGCGAUCAUACACGAGCUACCCAUAAUGGCUAUAACCGCAUAAACAAAGUUCUAUGUGGACCUAUGACAGGAACAUAAUAUCAUGCACUUGUACCUGUAUAUGUUAUUAUGUUUACUCAUUAACACACAAGCAAAUAACAUGCCAAACUUUUAUAACUGCAAAGGUAGGAAGCAACAAAACUAUUACCCAUAAAAAAACAUGUGUAAACACUUUUAUUAAUUUGUGUGUUUGUCUGUGUGACUUAUAUUUACUCACCCCAGGCAGCACUAACAUAUAGUCCCCAACAGCAAGAGUACCACAUGGGACCUCUGUGAAUGAUGAUUGCUCUGCAUCAUUAUCCACCAUUAGGCGUGCUUUUGAUGGAAGUAUAUUGAGCAAUCCGGUCAUAUCACUAGCAGCUUUUAACUUCGCCCUCUGCUCAAGAUUCUUCCCUAGAAGAACAAAAGCUAUCAACAUAAUUGGUUCCUCAAAAAAUGUCUUCCAUCCCUGCAAGACAAUCAGUUGGUAUAAAAUAACUACCAUAAAAUAGAGCAGUUGUACAAUUAAAUGGAACCUGAAUUAUGACUUUGCUCAACAACAUCUGCAGAGCAGAGACAAUGAUGCAGUUGUGGUAAGGUCAAAUUCCUGGUUCCUAUGGUUUGAUGUAUCUGAGCUCAUGCAUGCAACUAUACAACAAUGUAAUCCUUCCAGGAAGAAAGUAGGAGGUACCAGCUUUGGAAUGAAGGCUGCAACUGAGCUGACAGCAAAAGAUGACAGAGCACCUAAACCAACCAACGUAUUCAUGUUUGGAGAACCCUUGAAUAGACUCUUUAUUCCAUCAAUAAUUAGUCUUCGUCCAGGCCCAAUAAAUGUAAAUAUUGAGAGAGACAAAUGGAAUCCAGUGGAAUGAAACAGGUGCACCAAUGGUGCAUUAACUCCAAAGAGAUGAGAAAUAUGUCCCAGUAGGCAAACAGCACAUAGUGCCCAAGAUACAGCAAGUUCUCGACCUAAAAUAGAAACCAAUGUCAUGCUAAUCAUAGAAAAGACUCAAACUUGGACAAAGAUCAUAGGGUUGAUGUUUAGUUGCCAAUGCGAAUUAAGUUUACCACUUUGCUUCAGAUUUUGCAGUUUUUCGCCCAUCUUUCUUUCAAAAACAUUCUGUGAACUGACUUUCGAAGAAUCUGCAAGUACAAUAGACAGUUGCAUGAAACUGGAUAUACUGGCGCCUGGCAUUAAAAUUUAGAGGGAAAUUCAGACAUAAACUGGAGGGCAAAGCCGAUAAAGUGAAUGACAAAGCAAUUUCAUCUGUCUUGCAUUACAUAGCAUAAUGUAACAACAGGACUUUGAGAUAUAUCCAGCUAAACAAUAGGCACUGGACCUCUAAAGCACCAUUCAUAUAUCUUGCAUAUAAAAACCACUGAAAUGCUUAAGCAGCAUGCCCAGUCAACUUCUAUUGAGGAACCUAUCCAUCAGCAGAUUUUGCACAUUAGGGACAACUAGCAAUUCUCUAAGUUCUAAACCAUUGUUCAAACAGUCCUCAACACAUCCAAUUAAAUGGUAUUAUAUCAGCCUCACGACAUUACAGUAUCAAUUGUAACAGUUUACCUCGCUGGCUGGAUUUGUACCCACAUGUUGUCAACUGGCUAGCGAGCUUCUCACCCAACUGCAGUUUCCAAUCCUGUACAGCUCUAUCUUCCGGCACAGCCCACACAACUGCCAUCUCAGUAGCAAGGUUGACAGUUGCAGACACCACCUGGGGCUGCAAACACAAGCACACUGGCUUAGAAAGACAGCUAGUUGACUAAUAAACACCAUGCCGGAAAACAGCUCUGAGCCAGUGAGACACGCCGAGGCAACUCACCUCAUUCUCUUUUUCUUUUUUUUUUCUUUUUUUGCGAAUAACUCACCUCAUUCUCCAAAAUGCGUUUAACGCUUGCUGCACAUCCCCCACACGACAUCCCCUGCAGUCACAAGUUCAAACGCUCAAAUGACUAAUGUAGUCACAGAUUACAUAGUACUAGAAGAAAACAUAAUUCCCAUGACAGCUUGAGAAGUUUCACCAUGCAACUAUAGCAUAUAGAACUGAAGUACCAUUAUUACUAGCAUAACGGCCGUGCAUUGCUACAGAACCACAAAUAUGAUUCAGUCGUAUUGGAUUAGUAGUUGUUGUUGUUGUUGUAUUGGAUUAGUACUACUCCCUCUGUUCCGAUGAAUAAGGCGUACUUCGUUUAAUUAAGACAAGACCUUUACCAACAAUUACUCUUUUAAUAUUUGAUUUAUGUGAUACAAAAUCACUAUCAUAACAAAGUACUUUUACAUACAAAUCUGGUCACACAAAUUUCAUGUCAUAUAACCUUGUAUUUAUGGAGGGUCAAAUGCAUGUCUUAACAAAACAAAAUACGCCUUACUUUUAGGAAUGGGGGGGAGUACUGCAGAGAAGAAACCCAAUCAAGCAGUCAACACCACACCUGCGUAACUGCCGCGGCGAUGGGAUCACCAUUGCAAGAUAGAUUUUAUUUUAUUUUUCAAAUCGAGGGGUGUGGUAAGUUCUAGAUGAAUGAGGGAGACUGGGGUGGAGUGAGGGAGUGAACUCACACCACCACCAACUCCAAUGAAGAGCAGAGAAGUAAAGACUAGCAGCUACAGUGAUUCCAUCUAAGGGGAAAAUUUUACUGGGACGUGAAGAUAUGAUGUAAGCAUUUACAAUUCCCAAGACAUACAUACCCCAACGUCAAGGAUUAUGGUAUCGGCUUCCAGCCCUGCCGCUUCCUCUGCCACCGCCGUCCCCUGGGAAGCACGCGGCCGCUUCCACCCAUCGCCGCCUCCAUCACCGCCGCCCCCUCCAUCUCCAUUCCCCCUACCGCACCCGCCACCGGGAGGACCGGUCGACGCAAGGGGGGAAGCCGAGACGCUCGCGAACCAGCGGCGAGGGGAGGCCGGGCCGCGGAGCGCUAGGCGCGCGAGCGAGAGGAGGAGCACGUCGCCGUUCACGGAGCGACGCUGGGCGGAAGCGGCGAAGACAGGGGCGCGGCCGAGUGGGGCCGUGAGGGGGCGGCCGCGGAGGAGGAUGUUGUGCGGGGACGUGGCGGGGAACGACCUGGAGCGGGAGGAGAUAGCCCUGGAGAUGGCGAGGAGGGGCGUGGACGGGUCCAUCCUCGGGAAGCUUCUAGAAGGGUCUACGCAGCGGCGGCAGCAUGCGGCGGCUCGGGCACUGCUUUGCUACUGCCGCUGUGUGCGCGGCGGCGUCGAGUGCCGGAGGUAGCGGGGAUUGUAGAGUACAGGCCCGUACCCGUACGACGAGGAAUUUGGAUAUUUGCAACUCUGUUUAAUGAGUGAAAACUCAUCAGCGGUCAUUGGACUUGUCCACAAAUUUCACUUUAACUCAUCAGCGAAGGCCACAUGCAUGCUUUUUUUCAAAUUUUCAAAAAUGUCGUGAUGUCGUGACAAUUCUCCUUUCGCCAAAUCCCUAGCCCAUGUCCAUGUCGUCCGUCGAAUAUGUCCUGAAUCGCAUCCUCGUCCGUAGCAUUCGCCGCCAUCUCCCGAGAAAGGUACAACCUACUGGGGCUCAAAGUAGACACGAUGCACGGCACCAUCAGUGGUCACCGGAGCCAUCAAGUCUGAGAGAGACUGUCAUUUUGGUAUCCCGUUGGGAGGUGGAGGCACAAGAGUCCGGGAGGCGGCACUAUGUUUUACCACAUCGACAAUGCCUAAAUCCACGAAAUAAGCAAACUCGAGGAACGCAAGGCAAGACCACGGGGAUGCUCCGGUUGUAUCCCCAUGUGAGCCCUCACGGAGGCCUUGCCACAGCAGCCAACGCCGCUUGGGGCCAUGAGCAACGCAUAUAUGACAUGUUUCUCUCCGCCGAGGUAGACUCCUUUUUCACUACAAACCACCUCACCUACCCUGAGACGAAGCUCUCGCCCAUACCUUGUGGUGACCCUACUGGAGUUGGGUUGCACGCACGAGCGCCAAGACCAGUACAUGUGACACUGCAUAGGGAUCUACCCAAGCACGCACGCAUAAGAGCCCCAGAGUGCCCAUCCCGGCGGCAACCACGAUGGGCACAACUUUUGCCUUGUUGGCCUCGAUUCAUCAUUGCAACACUUCCCUAACACCAUCGUUAUCUACAGUCGCGCCUCCACCUCGAACCGGAACCGCCUUCAUCGCUCGUUGUCGCCCUACUCAUGCAACUACAUUGGGCACGCCAUUGCGCAUACUCGUCAUCCCAGUUGACCGCGAAGAGAUCGUACUCCAUGGUUGUUGUGGGUUGGGCUUCACGAGGUCGGGGAAGACGAGGCAACUCUCUUGCAGUUACAUAGAAGCGUGCUUGAUGGAGGUUGAUACGUCUCAAACGUAUCUAUAAUUUUUGAAGUAUUCAUGCUAUAUUUACAUCACUUAUUUAUGAUUUUGGCACAAUAUUCAUUUGGACUAACAUAUUAAUCCAGUGCCAAAGGUUUGUUCCUGUUUUCUACUCCCUCCAUUCCAAAAUAUAGUGCGUCCAUGCUUUCCGAGGUCCAACUUUGACCAUAAAUUUAACCAACGAGACCAACUGUGGCGGGAGAAAAAAAUUAUAUAAUUGAAAACUUCUUUUGAAUACAAAUUCACCGGUAUAACUUUUGCUCCCACCGCAGUCGGUCUCGUUGGUUAAAUUUAUGGUUAAAGUUGAAGCACACGAAUAGAGGAAGCACAAUAUUUUGGAACGGAAGGAGUACUAUUUUGGGUUUCUAGGUGAAAAAAUCACGGAGCAAGAAUGAGUUGAUAUUUUUCAUGAAUUUGUUAUGGAAUAAAAGGCCACGGGGCCGGAGAGAUGGAGGCCGAGGGAGCCAGGAGGGCUCCACACGGAUUGUUCAUGCUGCCACCCCCUAGGUCACGUCGAGGCCCGCGUGGGUGCUCCUUAAGUCGGUUGGGGCUCUUCUUUAGUUGGAAGACAGGUCCUAAAAUAUCAACAAAAAACUUAAAUUUCAGCCCGAUCGAAGUUACAGAUCUCCGACUAUAAAAGAACGGUGCUCGACCUCAGAAAAGUACCGAAAACAUGAGACAAAAAGAGAGAGAUCCAAUCUAGGGAGAGCUUCCUAUCUCCCCGGAGGGCCAUGGAAGAUGAAGAAGAAGGGGGCUUCCCCCUCUCAUUCGGUGGCGCCUGGACACCGCAGGGGGCAUCUCCACCAUCACCAUCACCAACAACUCUCUCUCUCUGUUCUCAUGGUGAUGUGUGAGUAGUCCCCCGUUCGGGAUGAGGGUACUCCCCCCCCUCCAGGAUAAGGGUACUCCCUCUGUUCGGUGAAGAGUGUACAUUUGGCUUUAAAUUUUGUCCAUAAAGAGUGUGCUCCUAUCUUCCCAAUGUACUUUAAAGUAGAAAACAAGGUUUCUCUCUCAUCACUCGGUAAUCAAGACCAAUAACAUUGUACACAUGGUCUGCUUAAUUUCUACAUGCACUUAGCUCAUUGGGGGUUGGGUAGUUAAAAAGGAGAGAAAUAGUGAAUUGUAACUUUUCAAUGCAUUUUUUACUUCACUCCAUAAUUUGUCCUAAAAAAUUUAUAUGUACAUUUUCACCAAACGGAGGGAGUAUGUACUGCUAGGUAUGUGUUUGAUACCUCUCUCUCCCAUGUUUUCGAAAGUUUCUGAUCUUGAUUGUAUCAUGAGCUUUAUGAAUAUGGAUCAUAUGUGUUGGGGAACGUUGCAUGCAAAACAAAACAAAAAUUCUACUCACACGCAACAUCUAUCCAUGGAGAUGCAUAGCUACGAGAGGGGGAAAGCAUCUUCAUACCCUUGAAGAUCGCUAAGCGGAAUCGUUUAUCAACGCGGUUGAUGUAGUCGUACACCUUCACGAUCCGCCCCGAUCAAGUACCGAAAGUACGACACCUCCGCGUUCAGCACACGUUCAGCUUGAUGACGUCCUCGUCUUCUCGAUCCAGCAAGAGAGGCGAAGUAGUAGAUGAGUUCCGGCAGCACGGCGGCGUGGUGACGGUGGUGGUGAAGAACAAUCUACGCAGGGCUUCGCCAAGCACAACAGAAACUAUGACGUCGGAUAAAUUAGAAGGGGCAGGGGUGCCGGCACACGACUUGCUGAAUCUUGAUCUGUAUUAGGUGCUAGCCCCGCCCUUCUAUUUAUAUGUUGAGCCAUGGGGUCGUUUAUUGGAGAAAGAGCCUCCUCAAAGUCGGUUUAGCCCGCAAGGCAAGAGUCCAUCUCGGACUCCAGGACCAGAUGCCAGGGUCCUUGGCAUCUGGCCCCAGGCGCCAGGGUGGCUGACGUCUGGCCCCUUGGCCUCCGCAAAACUCCAUUUGCACCUUCCUAAAGCCUCAUGGGCGUUACCCCUUGGCCCAAAUAAAGUGUUCUCGUACACGACCAUUUCGGGAAGCAUACGAAACCCUUCCGGUGAAUUCUGGAACCCUUCCGGAGACCAAACACUAUUAUCCCAUAUAUCAAUAUUUACCUCCGGACUAUUCCGGAGUUCCUCGUCAUGUCCGUGAUCUCAUCCAGUACUCCGAACAUUCGGUCACCAACAUACAUAACUCAUAUAAUAUUAUAUCGUCAACGAACAUUAAGCGUGCGGACCCUACGGGUUCGAGAAUGAUGUAGACAUGACCGAGACGCUUCUCCGGUCAAUAACCAAUAGCGGGACCUGGAUGCCCAUAUUGGUUCCUACAUAUUCUAUGAAGAUCUUUAUCGGUCGAACCUUUAUGACAACAUACGUAGUUCCCUUUGUUCGUCGGUAUGUUACUUGCCCAAGAUUCGAUGUCGGUAUCUUCAUACCUAGUUCAAUCUCAUUAUCGGUAAGUCUCUUUACUCGUUCAUCUUGUAACUAACUCCUUGGUCACUUUGCUUGCAAGUUUCUUGUGAUGUUGUAUUGCCGAGAGGGCCCAGAGAUACCUCUCCAUCAUACAGAGUGACAAAUCCCAGUCUCGAUUCAUGCCAACUCAACAGACACCUUCGGAGAUACCUGUAGAACAUCUUUAUGAUCACCCAAUUACAUUGUGAUGUUUGAUAGCACACAAGGUAUUCCUCCGGUAUCUGGGAGUUGCAUGAUCUCAUGGUCGAAGGAAUAUGUAUUUGACAUUAAGAAAGUAGUGGCAAUAAACUGAACGAUCAUAUGCUAAGCUAACGGAUGAGUCUUUUCCAUCACAUCAUUCUCCUAAUGAUGUGAUCCCGUUAUCAAGCGACAACACAUGUCUAUGGUUAGGAAACCAUAACCAUUUUUUGAUCAAUGAGCUAGUCUAGUAGAGGCAUACUAGGGACUUGGUAUUUGCUUAUGUAUUCACACAUGUAUUUAAGUUUCCAAUCAAUACAAUUCUAGCAUGAAUAAUAAACCUUUAUUAUGAUUAAGGAAAUAUAAUAAUAAUAACUUUAUUAUUACCUCUAGGGCAUAUUUCCAACAGUCUCCCACUUGCACUAGAGUCAAUAAUCUAGAUUACAUAGUAAUGAAUCUAACACCCAUGGAGUCUUGGUGUUGGUCAUGUUUUGCCCGCGGAAGAGGUUUAGUCAACGGGUCUGCCACAUUCAGAUCCAUAUGUACUUUGCAAAUUUGUAUGUCCCCAUCCUUGACCUUUUCACAUAUGGAGUUGAAGCGUAUCUUGAUGUGUUUGGUUCUCUUGUGAAACCUUGAUUCCUUCGCUAAGGCAAUUGCUCCAGUGUUGUCACAAAAGAUUGUCAUUGUACCUAAUGCACUAGGUAUUACACCCAGAUCGGAUAUGAACUCCUUCAUCCAGACUCCUUCAUGUGCUGCCUCUGAAGCAGCUAUGCACUCCGCUUCACACAUAGAUCCCGCCACGACACUCUGCUUGGAACUGCAUCAACUGAUAGCUCCAUCAUUCAAUAUAAAUGCAUAUCCGGUUUAUGACUUAGAGUCAUCCGGAUCUGUGUCGAAGCUAGCAUUGACGUAACCUUUUGCGAUGAGCUCUUUGUCACCUUCAUAAACGAGAAACGUAUCCUUGGUCCUUUUCAGGUACUUCGGAAUGUUCUUGACUACUGUCCAGUGAUCCACUCCUGGAUUACUUUGGUACCUCCCUGCCAAACUUAUGGCAAGGCACACAUUAGAUCUAGUACACGGCAUGACAUACAUAAUAGAACCUAUGGCUGCGGCAUAGGGAAUGACUUUCAUUUUCUCUCUAUCUUCUGUCAUGGUCGGACUUUGAGUCUGACUCAAUUUCACACCUUGCAACACAGGAAAGAACCCUUUCUUUGACUGGUCCAUUUUGAACUUCUUCAGAACUUUGUCAAGGUAUGUGCUUUGUGAAAGUCCUAUUAAGCGUCUCGAUCUAUCCCUAUAGAUCUUGAUGCCCAAUAUAUAAGCAGCUUCACUGAGGUCUUUCAUUGAAAAACUCUUAUUCAAGUAUCCUUUUAUGAUAUCAAGAAAUUUUAUAUCAUUUCCAAUCAGCAAUAUGUCAUCCACAUAUAAUAUCAGAAAUUAAUGCUACAGAGCUCCCACUCACUUUCUUGUAAAUAUAGGCUUCACCGUAAGUCUGUAUAAAACCAUAUGCUUUGAUCACCUCAUCAAAGCGUAUAUUCCAACUCUGAGAUGCUUGCACCAGUCCAUAGAUGGAUCGCUGGAGCUUGCCCACUUUGUUAGCACCUUUAGGAUCGACAAAACCUUCUGGUUGCAUCAUAUACAACUCUUCUUUAAUAAACUCGUUAAGGAAUGUAGUUUUAAUAUCCAUUUGCCAGAUUUCAUAAUCAUAAAAUGAGGCAAUUGCUAACAUGAUUCGGAUAGACUUAAGCAUCGCUAUGGGUGAGAAAGUCUCAUCGUAGUCAACCCUUUGAACUUGUCCAAAACCUUUUGCGACAAGUCAAGCUUAGUAAAUAGUGAUAUUACCAUCAGCGUCCGUCUUCUUCUUGAAGAUCCAUUUAUUCUCAAUGGCUUGCCGAUCAUCGAGCAAGUCCACCAAAGUCCACACUUUGUUCUCAUACAUGGAUCCUAUCUCAGAUUUCAUGGCCUCGAGCCAUUUAUCGGAAUCUAGGUUCAUCAUAGCUUCUUCAUAGUUCGUAGGUUCUGUUGGGGAACGUAGCAUGCAAUUUCAAAAAAAAUCCUAUGAUCACGCAAGAUCUAUCUAGGAGAUGCAUAGAAACGAGAGGGGGAGAGUGUGUCCACAUACCCUCGUAGACCGAAAGCGGAAGCGUUAGUUCAACGCGGUUGAUGUAGUCGAUCGUCUUCUCGAUUCAACCGAUCAAGUACCGAACGUACGACACCUCCGAGUUCUGCACACGUUCAGCUCGAUGACGUCCCCCGAACUCUUGAUCCAGCAAAGUGUCGAGGGAGAGUUUCAUCAGCACGAUGGUGUAGUGACGGUGAUGGUGAAGUGAUCCGCACAGGGCUUUGCCUAAGCACUACGACAAUAGGACCAGAGGCGUAAACUGUGGAGGGGAGCGCCGCACACGGCUAACAAUGUUUGCUGUGUGUUCUAGCGGUGCCCCCUCAUAUAUAUAGGUUGGAGGGGAGGAGAGGCAGCCAAGGGGGCGCCCCAAGUAGGAGGAAUCCUACUUGGGCACCUCCCAAUUCGGCCUCCCCCCUUUCCUAUUCCUAUUCGGAGUAGGAAGGGAAGAGGGGGAAGGGGGAAUCCUAUUCCCUUUUUCCUUUCCUCCUUCCCCUUUCCUUCUCCAAUUUGGCCAGCCCAUAUGGGAGGAGCGCACCAGCCCCUUUGUGGCUGUUGUGUUUUCCCUCUCCCAUAAGACCCAUAUAGUUUGCCGAGGGUAGCCCGGAACCCCUUCCGGUGACCCGAUACGUACCCGGUACCCCCGUAACACUUCCGGUGUCCAAAUACUAUCGUCCUAUAUAUGAAUCUUUACCUCUCGAUCAUUUCGAGACUCCUCAUCAUGUCGGUGAUCUCAUCUGGGACUCUGGACAACAUUCCAUCACCAAAUCACAUAACUCAUAUAAUACAAAAUCGUCAUUGAACGUUAAGCGUGCGGACCCUACGGGUUCGAGAACUAUGUAGACAUGACCGAGACACCUCUCCGGUCAAUAACCAAUAGCGGAAACUAGAUGCUCAUAUUGGUUCCCACGUAUUCUAUGAAGAUCUUUAUCGAUCGUAUCAUAAUGACAACAUACGUUAUCCCCUUUGUCAUCGGUAUGUUACUUGCCCGAGAUUCGAUCGUCAGUAUGUUCAUACCUAGUUCAAUCUCGUUAUCGGCAAGUCUCUUUACUCGUUUCGUAAUGCAUCAUCCCGCAACUAACUCAUUAGUCACAUUGCUUGCAAGGCUUAUCAUGAUGUGCAUUACCGAGAGGGCCCAGAGAUACCUCUCCGAUACUCGGAGUGACAAAUCCUAAUCUCGAUCUAUGACAACCCAACAAAUGCCUUCGGAUAUACCUGUAGAUCAUCUUUAUGAUCACCCAGUAUGUUGUGACGUUUGAUAGCUGACGAUGUCCUGGACUAGGGGGGUAUUCCUCCGGUAUUCGGGAGUUGCAUAAUCUCAUAGUCAAAGGAAUAUGUAUAAGUCAUGAAGAAACCAAUAACAAUAAAACUUAACGAUCAUUAUGCUAAGCUAACGGAUGGGUCUUGUCCAUCACAUCAUUCUCCUAAUGAUGUGACCCCGUUCAUAAAAUGAUAACACAUGUCUAUGGUUAGGAAACUUAACCAUCUUUGAUUAACAAGCUAGUCUAGUAGAGGCUUACUAGGGACACAGUGUUUUGUCAAUGUAUCCACACAUGUAUCAAGUUUCCGGUUAAUACAAUUAUAGCAUGAAUAAUAAACAUUUAUCAUGAUAUAAGGAAAUAAAAAAUAAAAAAUUUAUUAUUGCCUCUAGGGCAUAUUUCCUUCAGUCUCCCACUUGCACUAGAGUCAAUAAUCUAGUUCACAUCGCCAUGUGAUUUAACACUAAUAGUUCACAUCUUUAUGUGAUUAACACCCAUAGUUCACAUCGCCAUGUGACCAACACCCAAAGGGUUUACUAGAGUCAAUAAUCUAGUUCACAUCGCUAUGUGAUUAACACCCAAAGAGUACUGAGGUGUGAUCAUGUUUUGCUUGUGAGAGAAGUUUAGUCAAUGGAUCUGCCACAUUCAGAUCCGUAUGUAUUUUGUAAAUUUUCUAUGUCUACAAUGCUCUGCACGGAGCUACUCUAGCUAAUUGCUCCCACUUUUAAUAUGUAUCCAAAUUGAGACUCAUAGUCAUCUGGAUCGGUGUAAAAGCUUGCAUCGACGUAACUCUUUACGAUGAACUCUUUAUCACCUCCAUAACCGAGAAAUAUUUCCUUGGUCCUCUAAGGAUAAUUUUGACCGCUGUCUAGUGAUCUACUCCUGGAUCACUAUUGGUACCUCCCUGCCAGACUUAUGGCAAGGCACACAAUAGGUUUGGUACACAGCAUGGCAUACUUUAUAGAACCUAUAAUUGAAGCAUAUGGAAUGACUUUCGUUCUCUCUAUAUAUUCUGCUGUGGUUGGGUUUUGAGUCUUACUCAACUUCACACCUUGUAACACAUGUAAGAACCCUUUCUUUGACUAAUCCAUUUUGAACUCCUUCAAAAUCUUGUGGAGGUAUGUGCUUUGUGAAAGUCCUAUCAAGUGUCUUGAUCUAUCUCUAUAGAUCUUGAUGCUCAAUAUAUAAGUAGCUUCACCGAGGUCUUUUAUUGAAAAAAUCUUAUUCAAGUAUUCUUUUAUGCUAUCCAGAAAUUCUAUAUCAUGCCUGAUCAACAAUAUGUCAUCCACAUAUAAUAUCAGAGCUCCCACUCACUUUCUUGUAAAUACGGGCUUCACCAUAAGUCUGUAUAAAACCAUAUGUUUUAAUCACCUUAUCAACGCGUAUAUUCCAACUCCGAGAUGCUUGCACCAGUUCCAUAGAUGGAUCGUUGGAGCUUGCACACUGUGUUAGCACCUUUAGGAUCGACAAAACCUUUGGUUGCAUCAUAUACAACUCUUCUUUAAGAAAUCCAUUAAGCAAUGCAGUUUUGACAUCCAUUUUCCAGAUUUCACAAAAUGUGGCAAUUGCUAACAUGAUUCAGACAGACUUAAGCAUUGCUACGAGUGAGAAAAUCUCAUCGUAGUCAACACCUUGAACUUGUUUGAAAACAUUUUGUGACAAUUCAUGCUUUGUAGAUAGUAACACUACCAUCAUCGUCCGUCUUCCUUGUGAAGAUCCAUUUAUUCUCAAUGUCUUGCUGAUCAUUGGGCAAGUCCACGGAAGUCCAUACUUUGUUCUCAUACAUGGAUCCUAUCUCAGAUUUCACGGCCUCAAGCCAUUUUGCGGAAUCUGGGCUCAUCAUCGCUUCCUCAUAGUUCGUAGGUUCGUCAUGGUCUAGUAACAUGACUUCGAGAACAGGGUUACCGUACCACUCUAGUGCGGAACAUGCUCUGGUUGACCUACGAGGUUCAGUAGUAACUUGAUCUGAAGUUUCAUGAUCAUUAUCAUUAGCUUCCUCUCUUGUUGGUGCAAACAUCAUGGAAACGGUUUUCUAUGAUGAGCAGCUUUCCAAUUCGAGAGAAGGUACAAUUACCUCAUCAAGUUCUACUUUCCUCCCACUCACUUCUUUUGAGAGAAACUCCUUCUCUAGAAAGGAUCCAUUCUUAUCAACUAAGAUCUUGCCUUCGGAUCUGUGAUAGAAGGUAUACCGAACUGUUUUUUUGGGUAUCCUAUGAAGACACACUUCUCCAAUUUGGGUUCGAGCUUAUCAAGCUGAAACUUUUUCACAUAAGUAUCGCGACCCCAAACUUUAAGAAACGACAACUUAGGUUUCUUGCCAAAGCAUAGUUCAUACGGUGUCAUCUCAAUGGAUUUAGAUGGUGCCUUAUUUAACGUGAAUGCAGCUGUCUCUAAUGCAUAACCCCAAAACGAUAGUGGUAAAUCGGUAAGAGACAUCAUAGAUCAUACCAUAUCUAAUAAAGUGUGGUUACGACGUUCAGACACACCAUUACGCUGUGGUGUUCCAGGUGGCGUGAGUUGUGAAACUAUUCCACAUUAUUUUAAAUGAAGGCCAAACUCAUAACUCAAAUAUUCGCCUCCGCGAUCAGAUUGUAGAAACUUUAUUUUCUUGUUACGAUGAUUCUCCACUUCACUCUGAAAUUCUUUGAACUUUUCAAAUUUUCAGACUUGUGUUUCAUUAAGUAGAUAUACCCAUAUCUGCUCAAAUCAUCAGUGAAGAUUAGAAAAUAAUGAUACCUGCCGCGAGCUUCAACACUCAUUGGACUGCAUACAUCGGUAUGUAUUAUUUCCAAUAAGUCAUUAGCUCGCUCCAUUGUUCCGGAGAACAGAGUUUUAGUCAUCUUGCCCAUGAGGCAUCGUUCGCAAGCAUCAAAUGAUUCAUAAUCAAGUGAUUCCAAAAGCCCAUAUGCAUGGAGUUUCUUCAUGCGUUUUACACCAAUGUGACCUAAACGGCAGUGCCACGAAUAUGUUGCACUAUCAUUAUCAACUUUGCAUCUUUUGGCAUCAAUAUUAUGAAUAUGUGUAUUACUACGAUCGAGAUUCAAUAAACCGUUCACAUUGGGUGUAUGACCAUAGAAGGUUUUAUUCAUAUAAACAGAACAACAAUUAUUUUGUGACUUAAAUGAAUAACCGUAUUGCAAUAAACAUGAUCUAAUCAUAUUAAUGCUCAAUGCAAACACCAAAUAACAUUUAUUUAGGUUUAAUUCUAAUCCCAAAGGUAGAGGGAGUGUGUGAUGGUGAUCGUAUCAACCUUGGAAUUACUUCGAACACACAUCGUCACCUCGUCCUUAACUAGUCUCUGUUUAUUUUGCAACUCCUGUUUCGAGUUACUACUCUUAGCAACUGAACCAGUAUCAAAUACCGAGGGGUUGCUAUAAACACUAGUAAAGUACACAUCAAUAACAUGUCUAUCAAAUAUGUUGGGGAACACAAUAUUUCAAAAAUUUACCUACGAUCACGCAAGAUCUAUCUAGGAGAUGCAUAGCAACGAGAGGGCAGAGUGUGUCUACGUACCCUCAUAGCCUGAAAGCGGAAGCGUUUAGUAACGCGGUUGAUGUAGUCGAACGUCUUCGCGAUCCAUGAUGUCUACUACACAAUCUUAUUCUUGUAGACGUUGUUGGACCUCCAAGUGCAUAGGUUUGUAGGACAGUAGCAAAUUUCCCUCAAGUGGAUGACCUAAGGUUUAUCAAUCUGUGGGAGGCGUAGGAUGAAGAUAGUCUCUCUCAAACAACCCUGCAACCAACUAACAAAGAGUCUCUUUGUGUCCCCGACACACCCAAUACAAUGGUAAAUUGUAUAGGUGCACUAGUUCGCGAAGAGAUGGUGAUACAAGUGCAAUAUGGAUGGUAGAUAUAGGUUUUUGUAAUCUGAAAAUAUAAGAACAGCAAGGUAACUAAUGAUAAAAAUGAGCAAAAACGGUAUUGCAAUGCGUUGAAACAAGGCCUAGGGUUCAUACUUUCACUAGUGCAAGUUCUCUCAACAAUAAUAACAUAAUUGGAUCAUAUAACUAUCCCUCAAUAUGCAACAAGGAGUCACUCGAAAGUCACUAAUAGCGGAGAACAGACGAAGAGAUUAUUGUAGGGUACGAAGCCACCUCAAAGUUAUCCUUUCUGAUCGAUCUAUUCAAGAGUCCGUAGUAAAAUAACACAAAGCUAUUCUUUCCGUUCGAUCUAUCCUAGAGUUCGUACUAGUAUAACACCUUAAGACACAAAUCAACCAAAACCCUAAUGUCACCUAGAUAUUCCAAUGUCACCUCAAGUAUCCGUGGGUAUGAUUAUACGAUAUGCAUCACACAAUCUCAGAUUCAUCUAUUCAAACAACACAAAGAACUUCAAAGAGUGCCCCAAAGUUUCUACCAGAGAGUCAAGAUGAAAACAUGUGCCAACCCCUAUGCAUAAGUUCACAAGGUCACGGAACUCACAAGUUGAUCACCAAAACAUAUAUCAAGUGGAUCACGUGAAUAUCCCAUUCUCACCACAGAUAAGCACAUGCAAGACAUACAUCAAGUGUUCUCAAAUCCUUAAAGACUCAAUCUGAUAAGAUAACUUCAAAGGGAAAACUCAACCCAUUAAAAGAGAGUAGAGGGGGAGAAACAUCAUAAGAUCCAACUAUAAUAGCAAAGCUCACGAUACAACAACAUCGUGCCGAAUCAAGAACAUGAGAGAGAGAGGGAGAGAUCAAACACAUAGCUACUGGUACAUACCCUCAGCCCCGAGGGUGAACUACUCCCUCCUCGUCAUGGAGUGCCGGGAUGAUGAAGAUGGCCACCGGAGAGGGAUUCCCCCCCUCCGGCAGGGUGCCAGAACGGGUCUAGAUUGGUUUUCGGUGGCUACAGAGGCUUGCGUUAGCGGAACUCCUGAUCUAGGUUUCUUUUUGGAAGUUUGGGGUUAUAUAAGAGGCGUUGGAGUCGGGAACAAGUCAGGGGGGUCCACGAGGUGGCCAUGAGGUAGGGGGAGUGCCCAGGGGGGUAGGGCGCCCCCCCACCCUCGUGGGUGCCUCGGGACUCCUCUGGCCCAUCUCCAAUACUCUGUGGGCUUCUUCUGGUCCAAAAACAAUCUCCGCAAAUUUUCAGGUCAAUUGGGCUCCAUUUGAUAUUCCUUUUUUGCGAAACUCAAAAGCAAGGAAAAAACAGAAGUGGCACUGGGCUCUAGGUUAGUCCCAAAAAUCAUAUAAAAUAGAAUAUAAAUGCAUAUAAAACAUCCUAGAUGGAUAAUAUAAUAGCAUGGAACAAUAAAAAAUUAUAGAUGCGUUGGAGACGUAUCAAGCAUCCCCAAGCUUAAUUCCUGCUUGUCCUCGAGUAGGUAAAUGAUAAAAACAGAAUUUUUGAUGUGGAAUGCUACAAAAUCAUAUAGUCUGCUCGUCAUCAAUGUAAUCUUCUCUAUUGUGGCAAGAAUAUUCAGACCCAAUAAGAUUCAAGACAAAAGUUUAAUAUUGACAUGAUAAUAAUAAUAAUAAUAAUAAUAAUAAUACUUCAAGCAUACUAACCAAGCAAUCAUGUCAUCAUACAAAAUAUUUAAAUCAUGCACAACCCCGAUGACAAGCCAAGCAAUUGUUUCAUACUUUUGAUGCUCUCAAACUUUUUCAAUCUUCACGCAAUACAUGAGCUUGAGCCAUGGACAUAGCACUAUGGGUGGAAUAGAAUGGUGGUUGCGGAGAAGACAAAAAGGAGAAGAUAGUCUCACAUCAACUAGGCAUAUCCACGGGCUAUGGAGAUGCCCAUCAAUAGAUAUCAAUGUGAGUGAGUAGGGAUUGCCAUGCAACGGAUGCACUAGAGCUAUAAGUGUAUGAAAGCUCAACAAAAGAAACUAAGUGGGUGUGCAUCCAACUUGCUUGCUCACGAAGACCUAGGGCAUUUUGAGGAAUCCCAUCAUUGGAAUAUACAAGCCAAGUUCUAUAAUGAAAGAUUCUCACUAGUAUAUGAAAGUGACAACAUAGGAGACUCUCUAUCAUGAAGAUCAUGGUGCUACUUUGAAGCACAAGUGUGGUAAAAGGAUAGUAGCAUUGUCCCUUCUCUCUUUUUCUCUCAUUUUUUAUUUUUAUUUUUAUUUUUUAUUUGGGCCUUUUCUCUUUUUUAUGGACUCUUUUGUUUCAUCCGGAGUCUCAUCCCGACUUGUGGGGGAAUCAUAGUCUCCAUUAUCCUUUCCUCGCAUGGGACAAUGCUCUAAUAAUGAUGAUCAUCACACUUUUAUUUACUUACAACUCAAGAAUUACAACUCGAUACUUAGAACAAAAUAUGACUCUAGGUGAAUGCCUCCGGCGGUGUACCAGGAUGUGCAAUGAAUCAAGAGUGACAUGUAUGAAAAAUUAUGAAUGGUGGCUUUGCCACAAAUACGAUGUCAACUACAUGAUCAUGCCAAGCAAUAUGACAAUGAUGGAGCGUGUCAUAAUAAAUGGAACGGUGGAAAGUUGCAUGGCAAUAUACCUCGGAAUGGCAAUGGAAAUGCCAUAAUAGAUAGGUAUGGUGGCUGUUUUGAGGAAGGUAAAUGGUGGGUUUAUGGCACCGACGAAAGUUGCGCGCUGCUAGAGAGGCUAGCAAUGGUGGAAGGGUGAGAGACUGAGAGUGCGUAUAAUCCGUGGACUCAACAUUAGUCAUAAAGAACUCACAUACUUAUUGCAAAAAUCUAUUAGUUAUCGAAACAAAGUACUAUGUGCAUGCUCCUAGGGGGAUAGAUUGGUAGGAAAAGACCAUCGCUCGUCCCCGACCGCCACUCAUAGGGAAGGCAAUCAAAAAAAUAAAUCAUGCUCCGACUUCAUCACAUAACGGAUCACCAUACGUGCAUGCUACGGGAAUCACAAACUUUAACACAAGUAUCUCUCAAAUUCACAACUACUCAACUAGCAUGACUCUAAUAUCACCAUCUUUAUAUCUCAAAACAAUUAUCAAGUACCAAACUUCUCAUAGUAUUCAAUGCACUAUAUAUGAAAGUUUUUAUUAUAGCCAUCUUGGAUGCCCAUCAUAUAAGGACUAGUUUCAUAACCAAAGCAAAUUACCAUGCUGUUUAAGACUCUCAAAAUAAUAUAAGUGAAGCAUGAGAGUUCAUCUAUUUCUUCAAAAUAAAACCACAACCAUGCUCUAAAAAGAUAUAAGUGAAGCACUAGAGCAAAUGACAAACUACUCCAAAAGAUAUAAGUGAAGAUCAAUGAGUAGUUGAAUAAUUAUGUAACUAUAUGAAGACUCUCUAACAUUUAAGAAUUUAAGAUCUUGGUAUUUUAUUCAAACAGCAGACAAAAUAAAAAAAAA